UCAAAAUCAGAUAAGUUAUACAAAAUGGCAGUUGAUGGUGUGAAAGACCUUUUUGAUAGAAUCAUUGAUGAACAUAAUAAGUUGGUCAAAGAUAACGGAUCUUCACAAGUUCUGAAUUGUGAACCUCAGGAAGAUAAUAAUACAAUUCAGCAGUUGCAUCAACCAUUUGUGGAAAAUCCAAACAUAUCACAAACUAAAGGAAGACCUCCCAAAGACGAUAAAGCAAAAGGAAAAGUUAAUAGUACGGGUAGGCUACUGGCGGGGAUUGAAUCAUCUACUGCUAACAAAAAAAAGAAAGUGUUCAGUUUGCCAAGACACAACGCAUGACAAAAGAAAUUGCCCCAAAAAGGCAGAUAUGGAGCAAUUAAAAAUCAGUCAUCCAAGUACAAACUCCAGCAAUGAGGAUGCCAUUUAACUUGGGAUACAAUAGUGAUUACCGGACUCAGAAAUAUUUCCAAAAUGCGGAAGUGAGAAGAGCUCAAAGUAUGGACAAAUAACUGCGAAGGAAGUCCUAAAGGCUUGUAAUGACUGGUGUAAGCCUAGCUGCUGAUUAGUCCAAAAGCUUAACCAAUUAGUGGAAACGCACUGAUGGACGACCAAUUGAUGUCAAAUGAAAGUUUAGUUUACGUGACUAUAUAUGACAUGCUUUUUCUUAAAACAUUUUCAGUUUGACAAUAUUUUGAUAUUUCAUUUCGACUACAUUAUGGCAGUGGUAUGGUUAUUUGACAUGAAGUCUGAGUAUUCCAAAUGUGAUUCUAUUAAUUGUAUGUCUUCCCAAGAUAAAACAUCAC